GGAUGUGAGGGUGAUCUGGCUGAGACAUCUGUCACCCCAUUGAUCGCCAGGGUUGAUUCGGCUGAUAUUGCUGGCUAGGCGGGUGUCCCCUUCCUCCCUCACUGCUCCAUGUGCUUCCCUCCCGAAGCUGCACGCUCGGUGGAAGAGGACGACCAUCCCAGAUAGAAGGAGUAUACCGUUCUUCGGUCAAGGGUAUACGAUAGCUGUGAUAAAGAACAAAUAUGACUUGCAUUGAGGUUUAGGGUGGAGAAAGGCUUCCCAAAUGUGCAACCGUUACUAUUUUGGAUAGAUAAUGUUUUAUUAAAUCUUCCAUU